AUUGAACGCUGGCGGUAGGCUUAACACAUGCAAGUCGAACGGUAGCAGCUCUAGCUUGCUAGAGGCUGACGAGUGGCGGACGGGUGAGUAACGCGUAGGAAUCUACCUAAUAGUGGGGGACAACCUGGUGAAAACCAGGCUAAUACCGCAUACGCCCUACGGGGAAAGCGGGGAUCUUCGGACCUCGCGCUAUUAGAUGAGCCUGCGUUAGAUUAGCUAGUUGGUGGGGUAAAGGCUCACCAAGGCGACGAUCUAUAGCUGGUCUGAGAGGAUGAUCAGCCACACUGGGACUGAGACACGGCCCAGACUCCUACGGGAGGCAGCUAGU
rnacentral:rRNA from 1 species